rnacentral:tRNA from 1 species
CCCUGUAGCUCAGUUGGAGCAUGGUGUUUGCAAUGCCAGGGUUGUGGGUUCGAUUCCCACAGGGG